rnacentral:rRNA from 1 species
UACGGAGGGUGCAAGCGUUAUCCGGAUUCACUGGGUUUAAAGGGUGCGUAGGUGGAAUGGUAAGUCAGUGGUGAAAUCUCCAAGCUUAACUUGGAAACUGCCGUUGAUACUAUCAUUCUUGAAUAUCGUGGAGGUAAGCGGAAUAUGUCAUGUAGCGGUGAAAUGCUUAGAUAUGACAUAGAACACCGAUUGCGAAGGCAGCUUGCUACACGAUCAUUGACACUGAGGCACGAAAGCUAGGGGAGCAAACAGG